rnacentral:tRNA from 1 species
UGGCUUAGUGGUUAAGCGUUAGGCUGCUAACCUAAAGGUUGGUAGUUCAAAUCUACC